rnacentral:rRNA from 1 species
AUUGAACGCUGGCGGAAUGCUUUACACAUGCAAGUCGAACGGUAGAGGGGGCAACCCCUUGAGAGUGGCGAACGGGUGAGUAAUAUAUCGGAACGUGCCCAGUCGUGGGGAUAACGUAGCGAAAGUUACGCUAAUACCGCAUACGAUCUAAGGAUGAAAGCGGGGGACUCGCAAGAGCCUCGCGCGAUUGGAGCGGCCGAUAUCAGAUUAGGUAGUUGGUGGGGUAAAGGCUCACCAAGCCAACGAUCUGUAGCUGGUCUGAGAGGACGACCAGCCACACUGGAACUGAGACACGGUCCAGACUCCUACGGGAGGCAGCAGUGGGGAAUUUUGGACAAUGGACGCAAGUCUGAUCCAGCCAUUCCGCGUGCAGGAUGAAGGCCCUCGGGUUGUAAACUGCUUUUGUACGGAACGAAAGGUUUGUCUUAAUACGAUGAGCUCAUGACGGUACCGUAAGAAUAAGCACCGGCUAACUACGUGCCAGCAGCCGCGGUAAAGU